AGAGUUUGAUCAUGGCUCAGAUUGAACGCUGGCGGCAGGCCUAACACAUGCAAGUCGAGCGGAUGACGGGAGCUUGCUCCUUGAUUCAGCGGCGGACGGGUGAGUAAUGCCUAGGAAUCUGCCUGGUAGUGGGGGACAACGUUUCGAAAGGAACGCUAAUACCGCAUACGUCCUACGGGAGAAAGCAGGGGACCUUCGGGCCUUGCGCUAUCAGAUGAGCCUAGGUCGGAUUAGCUUGUUGGUGAGGUAAUGGCUCACCAAGGCGACGAUCCGUAACUGGUCUGAGAGGAUGAUCAGUCACACUGGAACUGAGACACGGUCCAGACUCCUACGGGAGGCAGCAGUGGGGAAUAUUGGACAAUGGGCGAAAGCCUGAUCCAGCCAUGCCGCGUGUGUGAAGAAGGUCUUCGGAUUGUAAAGCACUUUAAGUUGGGAGGAAGGGUUGUAGAUUAAUACUCUGCAAUUUUGACGUUACCGACAGAAUAAGCACCGGCUAACUCUGUGCCAGCAGCCGCGGUAAUACAGAGGGUGCAAGCGUUAAUCGGAAUUACUGGGCGUAAAGUGCGCGUAGGUGGUUUGUUAAGUUGGAUGUGAAAGCCCCGGGCUCAACCUGGGAACUGCAUCCAAAACUGGCAAGCUAGAGUACGGUAGAGGGUGGUGGAAUUUCCUGUGUAGCGGUGAAAUGCGUAGAUAUAGGAAGGAACACCAGUGGCGAAGGCGACCACCUGGACUGAUACUGACACUGAGGUGCGAAAGCGUGGGGAGCAAACAGGAUUAGAUACCCUGGUAGUCCACGCCGUAAACGAUGUCAAACUAGCCGUUGGAAUCCCUUGAGAUUUUAGUGGCGCAGCUAACCGCAUUAAGUGCCCGCCUGGA
rnacentral:rRNA from 1 species